CUACAAGGGUAUCUAAUCCUGUUUGCUCCCCACGCUUUCGUGCCUCAACGUCAGGAGUGGACCAAGAAGCUGCCUUCGCCAUUGGUGUUCCUCUCGAGAUCUACGCAUUUUACCGCUACUCCGAGAAUUCCACUUCUCUCUUCCACCCUCUAGCAUAAUAGUUUCUACCGCAAGCUUCCAGUUAGGCCGGAAUAUUUAACAGUUGACUUAUUACACCGUCUACGCACCCUUUACGCCCAAUGAUUCCGAAUAACGUUUGCACCACUCGUAUUACCGCGGCUGCUGGCAC
rnacentral:rRNA from 1 species